UCCGGUUUGUCACCGGCGGUCUCCUAGAGUUCCCACCAUUACGUGCUGGCAACUAAGGGCGAGGGUUGCGCUCGUUGCGGGACUUAACCCAACAUCUCACGACACGAGCUGACGACAGCCAUGCAGCACCUGUCUCACGGUUCCCGAAGGCACCCCUCUAUCUCUAAAGGGUUCCGUGGAUGUCAAGGCCAGGUAAGGUUCUUCGCGUUGCAUCGAAUUAAACCACAUACUCCACCGCUUGUGCGGGCCCCCGUCAAUUCCUUUAAGUUUUAAUCUUGCGGCCGUACUCCCCAGGCGGGGUGCUUAAUGCGUUAGCUGCGCCACCAACGAGCAAGCCCGCUGACAGCUAGCACCCAUAGUUUACGGCGUGGACUAC
rnacentral:misc_RNA from 1 species